rnacentral:rRNA from 1 species
GAUGAACGCUAGCGGGAGGCCUAACACAUGCAAGCCGAGGGGUAUGAUUCUUUCGGGGAUCAGAGACCGGCGUACGGGUGCGUAACGCGUAUGUAACUUACCCCAUUCACUGGGAUAGCCCUUCGAAAGGAGGAUUAAUACCGGAUAACACUAAAGUGGGCAUCCACUUUGGUUGAAAGAUUUAUCGGAAUGGGAUAGACAUGCGUCAGAUUAGCUAGUCGGAGAGGUAACGGCUCACCAAGGCGAUGAUCUGUAGGGGGCCUGAGAGGGUGACCCCCCACACUGGUACUGAGAUACGGCCCAG